CCUACGGGUGACUGCAGUGGGGAAUAUUGCGCAAUGGGCGAAAGCCUGACGCAGCGACGCCGCGUGAGGGAUGAAGGUCUUCGGAUCGUAAACCUCUGUCAGCAGGGAAGAACGGUCACUGUGCUAAUCAGCAGUGAAUUGACGGUACCUGCAAAGGAAGCACCGGCAAACUCCGUGCCAGCGGCCGCGGUAAUACGGAGGGUGCGAGCGUUAGUCGGAAUUACUGGGCGUACAGCGCUCGUAGGCGGUAUGUCGAGUCAAGGGAGAAAUCCCCGCGCUUGAGGUGGGAACUGCCUUUGAAACUGGCAAACUGGAGUGUGUGAGAGGAUAGUGGAAUUCCAGGUGUAGGAGUG
rnacentral:rRNA from 1 species